UACGUAGGGGGGCAAGCGUUGUCCGGAAUCAUUGGGCGUAAAGAGCGUGUAGGCGGUCCGGUAAGUCGGCUGUGAAAGUCCAGGGCUCAACCCGGGAACUGCGUCCGAUACUGGCAGGCUUGAAUUCGGGAGAGGGAUGCGGAAUUCCAGGUGUAGCGGUGAAAUGCGUAGAUAUCUGGAGGAACACCGGUGGCGAAGGCGGCAUCCUGGACCGAGAUUGACGCUGAGGCGCGAAAGCCAGGGGGAGCAAACGGG
rnacentral:rRNA from 1 species